rnacentral:rRNA from 1 species
AUUGAACGCUGGCGGCAGGCUUAACACAUGCAAGUCGAGCGAGCGGCGGACGGGUGAGUAAUGUCUGGGAAACUGCCUGAUGGAGGGGGAUAACUACUGGAAACGGUAGCUAAUACCGCAUACCAUCAGAUGUGCCCCGAUGGGAUUAGCUAGUAGGUGGGGUAAUGGCUCACCUAGGCGACGAUCCCUAGCUGGUCCGAGAGGAUGACCAGCAAAACGGGAACUGAGACACGGGCCAGACUCCGACGGGAGGCAGCAGUGGGGAAUAUUGCACAAGGGGGGCAAGCCUGAUGCAGCCAUGCCGCGUGUGUGAAGAAGGCCUUCGGGUGGUAAAGCACUUUCAGCGAGGAGGCGUUACUCGCAGAAGAAGCACCGGCUAACUCCGUGCCAGCAGCCGCGGUAAUUC